rnacentral:lncRNA from 1 species
GCGCUGCAGAUCUCCAAAGAGCUGACCAGGCGAGUCGCGGAGGCGGAGGGGGCAGCACUGGAUUCUGCUCCUCCCUCGUCUCUCACUGGCAAAGUCAACCAGCUGGAGGUGAUCCUGCGGCAACUGCAGAACGACCUCAGAAAGGAGAAAGAGGACAAGGCCAUGCUUCAGGAGGAGGUCCAGCAUCUGAGGCAGGACAACAUGCGUCUACAGGAGGAGAGCAUGACGGCGGCCGCACAGCUCAGGAAGUUCACCGAGUGGUUCUUUCACUCCAUCGACAAGAAACAAUGAGCCAGACGCCACCAUUUGACACCCCGUAUGAACAUUUAUGACUACCAGCCCAUUCGGAGACUGUAGCCAAGCCGCUGAAUCGUGAACUUUUGGGAUCUGCUCCAUCUAGAGUUGACUUCUCCAGACUUUUCAGAAGCCCUCAGAAGGAUUCGAUAAAAAAAAAAGACCCUGGAUCAAUUCCUCGGCCUUUCUAGUGGAAUGUAAAGCUAAUUUAGUCAUCUACAUAGAAGAACCUACCUACUUGCUGUCUGUCACGUCGGUCUACUGUAAUGUACAUUCAGAAUUACUGUAUCAUACUGCGCACACUGUCCCAAGCAAGGAGCAAGAAAGUGGACUUGAAAAAUGGGGGGAAAUCGGACGAAUGUAUUGGAUGAGACGUCGUCGUACUUAACCAAGAGGAGUCUAGAC